CACAUAUGUGCGUUGAAGUACACAAACCAGGACGGUGUCCACACUACUCGAGUUAUGCCUGUCUUGUGACCUGCCUGAGUGACAAAGAUUGCCCUAGAGGACUGAAGUGCUGUCCUCAUUAUUGUGGAAGUCAAUGCAGACCACCCAUCUUUUAGGGAAGACGAGUGAGCUGCAGCAUACAUCCCUAUGUUCACCUUGUUUUCUUUGAAACAAUUAAGUCAAAUAAAAAUGUCAAGAAACUGCU